rnacentral:rRNA from 1 species
UACGUGAGGGGCGAACGUUGUUCUGUGUCACUGGGCUUAAAGCGCGCGUAGGCGGGUUGGUAAGUCCGCUGUGAAAGCCCGGAGCUUAACGUCCGGAGGUCGGUGGAUACUGCCAGUCUUGAAGGUGCUAGGGGGAGGAUGGAAUUACCGGUGUAGCGGUGAAAUGCGUAGAUAUCGGUAGGAACACCAGUGGCGAAGGCGGUCUCCUGGGGCAUUCUUGACGCUGAGGCGCGAAAGCUGGGGGAGCAAACGGG